rnacentral:rRNA from 1 species
UGGGGAAUUUUGGACAAUGGGCGCAAGCCUGAUCCAGCCAUGCCGCGUGCGGGAAGAAGGCCUUCGGGUUGUAAACCGCUUUGUCAGGGAAGAAAUCUUCUGAGUUAAUACCUCGGGAGGAUGACGGUACCUGAAGAAUAAGCACCGGCUAACUACGUGCCAGCAGCCGCGGUAAUACGUAGGGUGCAAGCGUUAAUCGGAAUUACUGGGCGUAAAGCGUGCGCAGGCGGUUUUGUAAGACAGAGGUGAAAUCCCCGGGCUCAACCUGGGAACUGCCUUUGUGACUGCAAGGCUUGAGUGCGGCAGAGGGGGAUGGAAUUCCGCGUGUAGCAGUGAAAUGCGUAGAUAUGCGGAGGAACACCGAUGGCGAAGGCAAUCCCCUGGGCCUGCACUGACGCUCAUGCACGAAAGCGUGGGGAGCAAACAGGAUUAGAUACCCUGGUAGUCCACGCCCUAAACGAUGUCAACUGGUUGUUGGGAAGGUUCCUUCUCAGUAACGUAGCUAACGCGUGAAGUUGACCGCCUGGGGAGUACGGCCGCAA